rnacentral:tRNA from 2 species
GCGGGUAUGGUGUAGUGGUAACACAAUAGCCUUCCAAGCUCUUGUCACGAGUUCGAAUCUCGUUGCCCGCU